ensembl:lncRNA
GGGUGUUAAAGAUGGGUCCGUUUCACAUUCAUUGAUGACAUCUUUAUUCAUUCUCUCUAAAUUAAUGAAUGUACAAUUGAAUAAGCAUAGCCAAUGACACUAAUGACCAAUAGGCUAUUUUGAACUGAAACAAGUACACGAAAUAUAUUUUGUUUCUUAAAGGAACAGUGCAACCAAAAUUAAUAUUCUAACAUUAUUUGCUCACCCUGCACUCUUUUUCAUUUUUUUUUUCGUUUCUGAUGUCUUAAUUCUUUUAAUAUGUGGAACUCAAAUAUGAUAGUUGGAGCAGAAUAACACUUAAGUUGUAUGCAGAAAUGUGCUAUAAAAGUCAGUGUCAGUUCAUCAUAUUCUGCCUAACUUCUCCAUUAUAUUUCAUUUUACUAUUUAUUUAUCACCACCUUGAGGCAUAGAACGCUACCAAACAAGAUUAUUUGAGUAGGUUUUACACGAAAAUACCAUUUCAGUCUUACUACUUCAAAAUGUUCAGUUCAGUAUAUUAGUUGCCUUUUCUUUGUAAUUAUUUGUAGAAUUUAAUAGCAAUUUCUGAAUGAAAAGCUGUGUUUUCAGCACCAUGGACAGCGGUUAUUGCUGUCAAGUCUACAUCUUCCUUUCAGACCUGAAUGCAUUUAAAUUAAUUUAAGCAGUCUAGCAUUGGGCUACCAGUAAAAGUCACUAAUAUCAAGUAAUAUAUGGAGAAUAAAACAAUAAUAAUAAAAAAAAGCUUUUAGGAAAUGGAACAACUUUCAAGGGGUUCAAGCCAGCAUCUACGUCACUGACCCAGCAGCGAAGCUCACGGGAAUCAAUGUUCCCGAGAACAUUCUGCUUGGGCAAACCACUGCCCUUCUACUAAAAUAACCCGGUUAUGCAUCAGAUUCAUGGCCAUAAUCAUUAAUCAUAUUAAAGCAAUAUCUUAUCUAGAUUCAUUUUAUGUGAUUAUUAAAAUUUAUUUGAGUUCUGCUGUGUUUUUUGUAACACUUCUCUUUAAUUGCAGUAGCUGUUCUGUCUCUCCAUGUGAACUGACUUCACCUCGGUCUUGCCCAGCUUGGCUAUUAUGUGAGUCUUCACCAGUAUGCCAGCACUUCAUGACCUUGGCUCUAGACUGCUUACUGCUUAUGGAGUCCAACAGUACAGUAACAGUCUACAGUCAUGGCUACUGAAGUCUGGCUCCAGCAUCACAAACACACAACACUAAUACAGAAGGGUUUUAGCCUUUCAUCUGUAUAACUUCGGUUGUGAUUGAAAAGUGAACCCUGUUAAAAUGUGCAUGCACGCAUUCAUCAGAAAUACUCGGCUGUGACGGCAAACAGUUGUGUAUGUCUGAGCCUGUAUUGGGGGAGUCCUGUGCUAUGGAGGCAUGGCUUUUCAUCUAACAAGCCAAUAGAACUGCACUAUUUCCAGUUACCAUGCCAACACCCCCUCAUCCCUACCUCUGCUGUCUCCAUGGUGACCGUGGCUUUAGAUUGUUACUGUAGCGAUGGCACAUGGUAACAGUCUACAGCCAUGGUCGCCAAGGGGCAGGUGUUAUAGCAACAACUGAAAGCAUCAGAAAUGAUUGCGACUAGCUGGCUGAAUUAUGUUUCACGCACGUGACCAGAAACUGUAGCACAGUGAGGAUUUUCUAAGAAGCUGAAUGAUAUGAUUUCAAAAAGUAGGUCAAAGUCUGACUUUAUAUAUUUGUAUUUUUACCUCCUUCUGAAACUCUGUUAAAAGACGUCUCUGUCAACAUUAAAGUAAACAUGUUUUUCUCAGACUUUGCCUGCUGUAAAACAUCAAAGCUACAUUGAGUUCUUCAUUUGAGACCAAAAACUUUAUUCUUUGCACAACAUACAUUAAAUACUUCAAUACAAGCAGAUUCGCUUUCCAAUGUAAUUGCUUCAUGUACUGUACCAGAAUAUACAAUUGUUUCUCUAUAAUGAUUUCCUGAUGAUUCAGUUUGUUCCCUUGAUGGCACAGUGAUUCAUUCUAAUGUGGAGUGCCAACGAUUGCUCCUUUUUUUCCAGACAAUUUCCUGUGGAACAAGGAGAGGCAGUUUCAAUUAGGAUCGGGUGACAGAAUAUUGUUUAAUGUACUGUAUAAUUGAUGAAAGUCAUACAUUUUCUUUUUACCGGUUGCAGUGCCAUCUGGGACAGCUGGGCAGGUGUUUUAGUGAAUUCAGUGAGUAAUUAAUACAUAUCAAACUGGCAGAGAUGUCUUGUCUAAAUGUAUGUUAAUCUGCAACAAUUUUUAGUAGUGUGCAAUAGAACAUGGCCCAAAUGCUAAAAAAUAUCCAAUUUUAGCAGUCACACAUCGCCCUCUUGAGGAGAGAGUUUAUAGUUGCGGAAAACAAUCUGUGGGCCAGUGUUGUGCUUGGUACCAUUAAAUGUAAUAGAAAGAAAUUAUAUUCAGAAAUGUUUCUAUGAAAAUUUAAGUAAAUAAAAUCUCAACAUCCAAAGACAAUGUCCCCUGUAUUGGUUUUAAUAUUUUAAAAUUAUGCCAGUUUUGAUUAAUUAAACAUUUGUAGCCAGGGUUAUCUACAUUUUAAAGCAUUUUUGGGGUCCAAGUUAAAAAAAAAAGAAAGAAAAAAAAGAUAGCAUCUAAUCCCUGUUGAUCAUUAAAAUUUUUUUUUUUCAUUUAGAAGGCAACAAUUGAUUUUAAAAAUAUUUUCUCUGUUCUUCUGCAUUUUUAUUAUUUUCUAGCUUCUGUGUUACUUAGCAGUAAAAUCAAUAGUUUUGCCCAGGGUUAACUGUUUUUUUUUUUUUUUCCUGAGUUAAUAAAAAAAGUUUGAUCUGGAAACUCUCUGAUCUGGAAAUUGUUGCCUCAUGUAUGCUAAACUUGCGACAUUCCAUAUUUGUUGCUGAAUGAUCAAAUCUAAAUGUUGAUAGAGACUCUUUUCCCUACAAGUAAGAGACCAUGUGCUGAUACUUGAACCUCAGCACAUAAACUCUUACUGUUCAGGGCUAAGGGCAUCAUACAGGGACGAACACACACACACACACACACACACACACACACAGAUUCACUGCCACUCUAAGAAUGAUUAAUUACACAUUCAGCCUCUAAAAGAAGAUAAACUGGGCAGUGUCAGACCUUGAAACUGAAAAGCAGAGAAAAUAAUGUAAGAAAUAAUCAGCAACAUGUUUUGCCCUAAUAAAAGUUUAAAUUCAGUUUUUUUUAGAUCAAUAAAUUCUAUCCAUUUAAAAAGACAGUCAAAUUAAUAAGAUACAUUAACUGCAGUGAUUAGAAAUGGAAAGUACAGUCUGUGAUUUGUCAGCUCCUCUAACUGACCUAAACGUGCCCCUGUAACAACUAGACGCACAAGAAGGAACAGCCAAACCACAAGAAUUUGAAAGUUUUUGUUCAGAUCGAAGCAUUUCCUUUUCACCAAAACCUUGUAGGUCUUACCAAUGAUAACACAGAGAGUUCCAGCAGCUCAGAAAGAAAGAAUGAAAGAAAGAAAGAAAACCUGAGUUUGGAAAGUUGAGAAGUCAGGAAACAAACUUUGGCUUAUGAUAAGCCCUGUCCACAUAAACAGAAAAACCAUGAAGUGGCAGGACUGUGUGUUUGGAUCAGGCUGGAAAUAAAUAAUAAGUUACUCAAAUCACACUCUGCUGGAUAAAUUCCUGAAUUCCUGGUUAUAAGACCCCUCUAAAAAAACAAAAUAACUCAACAACAAAGUAACAAAACAAUCCCACAAAAACUCCUAAUCUCAGAACAUUAAACAUUUUUUGCUGGUAAAAUCCUUCGUUCUUCAUCCUGUCUUACUCUUGUUUGUAAAUACAGACCAUGUGCUUCCUCACACUGACAUCACAAUGACAUCAUAGUUGUUCUUUAGGUUAAGUAAUCUCCUUGGGAAACUCCCUCCACCUAUUCUGUCACUGCUGAGAUCUGAUUGGUCAGGUCGGCCACACCAGCAAAAAAAGUGACCUCUUCACUAUAACAAAAUUUCCUGGAAUUAACCUUCAUCUGCUCUUCUGGGAAACCUCAUAAGUAGCUUUCAGUUUUCUUCAAAUAUCAAAGGUUUUCAAUCUACUCUAAAGCAACAUUUCAACCAGAUUCAUCUUAUUAUAAUGAUUCAUCUUAUUAUAAUGGCUUCAGCUAGCCUAUGAAUAAG